GAUCAUGGCUCAGAUUGAACGCUGGCGGCAGGCUUAACACAUGCAAGUCGAACGGUAGCAGGAGAAAGCUUGCUUUCUUGCUGACGAGUGGCGGACGGGUGAGUAAUGCUUGGGAAUCUGGCUUAUGGAGGGGGAUAACUACGGGAAACUGUAGCUAAUACCGCGUAGUAUCGAGAGAUGAAAGUGCGGGACCGUAAGGCCGCAUGCCAUGAGAUGAGCCCAAGUGGGAUUAGG
rnacentral:rRNA from 1 species